rnacentral:rRNA from 1 species
GUGCCAGCAGCCGCCGCGGUAACACGUAGGAGGCGAGCGUUAUUCGGAUUUACUGGGCGUAAAGCGCGUGUAGGCGGCUCUAUAAGUUGGAUGUGAAAGCUCCCGGCUUAACUGGGAGAGGACGUUCAAAACUAUAGAGCUUGAGUACGAGAGAGGAAAAUGGAAUCCCGGGUGUAGUGGUGAAAUGCGUAGAUAUCCGGAGGAACACCAGUGGCGAAGUCGACUUUCUGGCUCGAGACGGACGCUCAGACGCGAAAGCUAGGGGAACAAACGGGAGUAGAUACCCUGGUAGUCCUCUACC